rnacentral:misc_RNA from 1 species
GAUGAAGAACGUAGCGAAAUGCGAUAAGUAGUGUGAAUUGCAGAAUUCAGUGAAUCAUCGAAUCUUUGAACGCACAUUGCGCCCGCCAGUAUUCUGGCGGGCAUGCCUGUCUGAGCGUCAUUUCAACCCUCAUGCCCCUAGGGCGUGGUGUUGGGGAUCGGCCAAAGCCCGCGAGGGACGGCCGGCCCCUAAAUCUAGUGGCGGACCCGUCGUGGCCUCCUCUGCGAAGUAGUGAUAUUCCGCAUCGGAGAGCGAUGAGCCCCUGCCGUUAAACCCCCAACUUUCCAAGGUUGACCUCAGAUCAGGUAGGAAUACCCGCUGAACUUAAGCAUAUCAAUAAGCGGAGGA